ACACACAAAUGUGCACCCACACACACAGGCGCACACACACACAAAUGUGCACCCACACACACAAAUGUGCACCCACACACACAGGCACACACACACAAAUGUGCACCCACACACACAGGCACACAUGCAUACAAGUGUGCACACAUACAUACGUGCACACACACACACAGGCACACACACACACACAAAUGUGCACCCACACACACAGGCACACACACACAGGCACACAUGCAUACAAAUGUACACACAUACAAAUGUACACACAUACAUACGUGCGCACACACGUUUACCCACACACGCGUGCACAUACAAAUGUUUACCCACACACGUAUGCGCACACACAAUGUUUACCCACACACGUGCACACACGUGCACCCACACCACAUGCGCACACACACAGGCACACACAAAUGCGCACCCACCCACACACGCACACACACACACAUCUGCUCAAUGUGUGCCCGAGGGCUGCGAGAGGUAAAACAUCUCUGUGGCCCAGGGAGUGGCCUGUCCAGCUGCGGCCACAGACAUGGAGGUGGGGGUCACCGCCGGACCAACAGUCCCACCGUGGUGGGCUCCAGUACAGC
rnacentral:lncRNA from 1 species